GAUGAACGCUGGCGGCGUGCUUAAGACAUGCAAGUCGAACGGAGAGUUUGUAGCAAUACGAGCUCUUAGUGGCAAAUGGGUGCGUAACACGUAGGUGACCUGCCCUGAAGUGUGGGAUAACAGUCCGAAAGGAUUGCUAAUACCGCAUGUGGUCUUGGUAGUUAGAGAGCCAAGUCUAAAGUAGUAAUACGCUUCAGGAGGGGCCUGCGGUCCAUCAGCUAGUUGGUGAGGUAAUGGCUCACCAAGGCGACGACGGAUAGGGGACCUGAGAGGGUGGCCCCCCACACUGGCACUGACACACGGGCCAGACUCCUACGGGAGGCAGCAGUCGGGAAUAUUGGGCAAUGGGCGAAAGCCUGACCCAGCAACGCCGCGUGCACGAUGAAGGCCUUCGGGUCGUAAAGUGCUUUUUGGGAGGAUGAGGAAGGACAGUACUCCCAGAAUAAGUCACGGCUAACUACGUGCCAGCAGCCGCCGUAAUAC
rnacentral:rRNA from 1 species